AGAGACAGCUACACAGGGCACAGGCGGCUAUACCAGAGAUAGGGCUACACAGGGCACAGACACUAUACCAGAGACAGGCACUACACAGGGCACAGACACUAUACCAGAGAUAGGCACUACACAGGGCACAGACACUAUACCAGAGACAGGCACUACACAGGGCACAGACGCUAUACCAGAGACAGGCACUACACACACAGGGUACAGACACUAUACCAGAGCCAGGCACUACACAGGGCACAGACACUAUAACAGAGAUAGGCACUACACAGGGCACAGACACUAUAACAGAGAUAGGCACUACACAGGGCACAGACACUAUACCAGAGACAGGCACUACACAGGGCAUUGACACUAUAACAGAGACAGUCAGGACAGACAAAACAUGCUCUGUACAGGGCACAGGUUACAUGCAAGACAAUCACUACUCACAAAACAUAUUUUCAACUUCGUUACGAGAACUGUCAAAAUCAAAUCAGAUAGAAGUACUGACAAAUGAAGGGUAGUUGUCACUGUUGUAUUAUCCUAGUUAUGGCUUCUGCUGUUUGUGUAGGACAGCUAAUUACUGCAAAUAGUUGCCA
rnacentral:lncRNA from 1 species